UAACCUGCCCAAGAGAUCGGGAUAACACCUGGAAACAGAUGCUAAUACCGGAUAACAACAGAUGAUGCCUAUCAACUGUUUAAAAGAUGGUUCUGCUAUCACUCUUGGAUGGACCUGCGGUGCAUUAGCUAGUUGGUAAGGUAACGGCUUACCAAGGCGAUGAUGCAUAGCCGAGUUGAGAGACUGAUCGGCCACAUUGGGACUGAGACACGGCCCAAACUCCUACGGGAGGCAGCAGGC
rnacentral:rRNA from 1 species